AGCAGGGCGCUCUCCGGGAUGUAGUUGGUGACAUUGUGGUUGGCCUCGAUGACUGGAGGGGAGACACAGAUGGACAAACAUUCUUGUAAAAAAGGCCAACAGCCGCAUAACGUGCAGAUAAAAAUAAAGAGUAACAUUUCAGACUCUUUACUUACGGAGUUUGCAAAGAAAGCACACCAGUACCCACAAUGCAACAGUGUAGGGGGGCUUCACAUGG